GUGCCCCCUAGAGUUCCCCUGACCACUUCACUGGGGGAUCUUCUGUAAUGACUUCCUACUGAAGUGUUUGGGGGAACUCCUGGUGUCAU
rfam:Vitis vinifera, whole genome shotgun sequence of line PN40024, unoriented chromosome 1, chr1